rnacentral:rRNA from 1 species
UACAUGGGGUGCAAACGUUGCUCGGAAUUACUGGGCGUAAAGGGCGCGUAGGCGGGAUGGCAAGUCGGUCGUGAAAUCCUUCGGCUCAACCGAAGAACGUCGAUCGAUACUGCUGUUCUUGAGGGUUGCAGAGGAGACUGGAAUUCCCGGUGUAGCGGUGAAAUGUGUAGAGAUCGGGAGGAACACCGGUGGCGAAGGCGGGUCUCUGGGCAAUUCCUGACGCUGAGGCGCGAAAGCGUGGGGAGCAAACGGG